rnacentral:rRNA from 1 species
GAUGAACGCUAGCGGGAGGCUUAACACAUGCAAGUCGAGGGGCAGCACGAGGUAGCAAUACUUUGGUGGCGACCGGCGCACGGGUGAGUAACGCGUAUGUAACCUACCUUGUACAGGAGGAUAACGCGGAGAAAUUCGGACUAAUACCCCAUAAUGAUAUUGAGAGGCAUCUUUUGGUUUUUAAAGUUUCGACGGUACAAUAUGGGCAUGCGUAACAUUAGCUAGUUGGUAGGGUAACGGCCUACAAAGGCUACGAUGUUUAGGGGUCCUGAGAGGGUGAUCCCCACAUUGGUACUGAGACACGGACCAAACUCCUACGGGAGGCAGCAGUGAGGAAUAUUGGUCAAUGGGCGUAAGCCUGAACCAGCCAUCCCGCGUGCAGGAAGACGGCGCUAUGCGUUGUAAACUGCUUUUCCAGGGGAAGAAAACCCCCGAUGUAUCGGGGCUUGCCGGUACCCUGGGAAUAAGCAUCGGCUAACUCCGUGCCAGCAGCCGCCGUAAUAC